AUGGGAGGCCCGACGCCCCCGUCCCCUCGAGUCCUGGCCGCGCGCCCUCGAGCAUAUCCGUGCCCCCUUGAUCUGCCCCAUGCAGCCGAUCCUCCGCGACGCCGGCCUGACCCCGGUGUCGCCAUGGUAACCAAUGGCCAUGGUGUUCUUCUUGUUGUGCGCGUUCUGCCAUAUCAGUGGCGACAGCAGGAUCGGCGAGCAAGCGGCCACGGCGAGCUUGGCAGUGUUGCCACUCGCCGGCGCUGGCGGAGCAGUCUUGAUCCUGUCGAGUCAUGUUUGCUUCGGUGCCUCGACGCGGUGGCGUUGGUGAUGUGCCGCCAUGGAGCUAGAGCUAGCUAG
rnacentral:rRNA from 1 species